AGAACGAACACUGGCGGCAUGGAUUAGGCAUGCAAGUCGAACGAGAACGCUCUCUUCGGAGAGUUAGUACAGUGGCGAACGGGUGAGUAACGGGUGGAAAACCUGCCCUUCAAUGGGGGAUAACAGUUCUAACGAGCUGCUAAUACCGCAUACGACCUUCGGAUCUCCUGAUCUGAAGAUGAAAGGUGGCGAUAUCUUCGGAUAGCUGCCGUUGAAGGAUGGUUCCGCCUCCCAUUAGCUUGUUGGUGGGGUAAUGGCCUACCAAGGCGACGAUGGGUAGCCGGCCUGAGAGGGUGUCCGGCCACACUGGGACUGAGAUACGGCCCAGACUCCUACGGGAGGCAGCAGUCGAGAAGCUUCGGCAAUGGGCGAAAGCCUGACCGAGCGAUGCCGCGUGAGCGAAGAAGGUUCUAUGAAUUGUAAAGCUCUGUCAGAUUGGGAAGAAAACUGUGCGGUUAAUACCCGUACAGCUUGACGGUACCAUCAGAGGAAGCACCGGCUAACUCCGUGCCAGCAGCCGCGGUAAUACGGAGGGUGCAAGCGUUGUUCGGAUUCACUGGGUAUAAAGGGUGCGUAGGCGGCCUUUUAAGUCAGAGGUGAAAUGUGACGGCUCAACCGUCAAACUGCCUCUGAAACUGAAAGGCUUGAGUUCGAGAGAGGAAGGUGGAAUUCCAGGUGUAGCGGUGAAAUGCGUAAAUAUCUGGAGGAACACCAGUGGCGAAGGCGGCCUUCUGGCUCGAAACUGACGCUCAGGCACGAAAAGCAUGGGGAGCGAACGGGAUUAGAUACCCCGGUAGCCCAUGCCGUAAACGAUGGGAUACUA
rnacentral:rRNA from 1 species